rnacentral:sRNA from 1 species
ACUGCAAGCUCCGCCUCCCGCGUUCACGCCAUUCUCCUGUGUCAGCCUCCUGAGUAGCUGGGACUACAGGCGCCCGCCACCAUGCCCGGCUAAUUUUUUUUGUAUUUUUAGUAGAGACGGGGUUUCACCAUGUUAGCCAGGAUGGUUUCAAUUUCCUGACCUCGUGAUCCGCCCGCCUCGGCCUCCCAAAGUGCUGGGAUUAUAGGCGUGAGCCACCGCGCCCAGCCCCUUUCAUUUUUGAUAUGGAGUUUUGUUCUUGUUGCCCAGGCUGGAAUGCAAUGGCGCGAUCUCAGCUCACUGCAACCUCUGCCUCCUGGGUUCAAGUGAUUCUCCUGGUUCAGCCUCCUGAGUAGCUGGGAUUACAGGAAUGCGCCACCACACCUGGCUACUUUUGUAUUUUUAGUAGAGAUGGGGUUUCUCCACGUGCAUCAGGCUAGUCUCACACUCCCGACUUCAGAUGAUCCACCCGCCUCGGCCUCCCAAAGUGCUGGGAUUACAGGCGUGAGCCACCGGGCCUGGCCAAAGCCUUGUUCACUUUCAUUUUGUGGCUGCUGUUGUGAAAUCUGCAGAACCUCAAGCUGUUUGGACUCCGUCUUCGAGGUUGAAUUAGAUUACAGGUAAUCUCAUGGUGGAGGUGUAUUCUGGAUCGACUCACUUGAAAUGUUUAUGAAAGAAAUUCCUUCACCUCAGGACUUCCACACUGGAGCUGGCAAUCAGUAUCACCUUAAUUUACCUAUCACAGUGAGGCAUCUCUGCUCUGAGGAAAACAAAACAAAACAAAAAAGAAGAGCUAAUGGUUCUGUUUUGUUUUGUUGUUUUAGAGACAGGGUCUUGCUCUGUCGCCUGGGCUGGAAUGCAGUGACAUCAUCAUAGCUCACUGUAGCCUUGAUCUCCUGGGCUCAAGUGAUCCUUCUGCCUCGGCCUGCGUAGCUGGGAUGGGACUACAGAUGCACGCCACCACACCUGGCUAAUUUUUUUAUUUUUGUAGAGACGAGGUCCCAUGUGAGCCACGGUGCCCCACCUUUUAAAGCAAUUACCGUAAGGAAGCAACUGUCUUUAGCAAAUAGAAGAUCAUAAACAUCCUUCUGGAGAUCUUGAGAUGUUGACUGUGGUUUAUAGGGCAAUGAAAAUCUACAUACCUGAGUGGGGCAGUGAGACAUGAGUGCCACCUAUGAUCCUUCCAGUGAGCAAUUCUUUCUGGUGCCAGGAGCCCAAAGGAAACUCAGUCAACCAGCUGUAGAUGGGCUUGUUCCGAGUUUGUUCUAGAAGUCAGAACUGCCAGCUCUGAAAGUAGGUCACAAGUGACUGGCCAUCCCUGGGCUGCUCACAGGAAGUAGGUGCAAAGGUCAGGGAAAGUUUUUAAUGACUAUACAGGCCAGUGAAUGACAGGCUUUGAGGAGCUUCUCUUCUUGGCAUCUGAAACAGGCACAUGGAGGAGCUGCCUUGGAGACAGAAUGACAGCUGUGGCAAUGUGAGCCUGAUUCCUCAGCCCCAUAAAAUAGAUGCCUUUGCAAAAAACCCAUUUCUUUUUUUUUUUUUCUGUUUUUGAGAGGGAGUCUCGCUCUGUCCCCCCAGGCGGAGUGCAGUGGCAUGAUCUCGGCUCACUGCAACUUCUGCCUCCCGGGUUCAAGCAAUUCUCCUGCCUCAGGUCCCAAGUAGCUGAGAUUACAGGCAUCCGCCACCACGCCUGGCCAAUUUUGUAUUUUAGUAGAGACGGGGUUUUGCCACGUUGGCCAGGCUGGCAAAAAGGCCAUUUCUAUACAGAGGAAUCAUCUUGCAGGACUCAAGGAAUGAUUAAGAUUAACUUUAGAAACUCGAUGCAAUAUUCCCAAGAGGAGUUAAGAUUGGGAUAAGUAAUCUCUGAAUUAAUUUCAACCUUGAGAUGUUGUGAUCCUAUGAAGUUACAGACAUAUUUCUUUUUUCUUUGUUUGAGAUGGAGUCUUGCUCUGUCACCCAAAUUGGAGGGCGGUGAUGUGAUCUCGGCUUACUACGACCUCUGCCUCCUGGGUUCAAGCGAUUCUCAGCUUCAGCCUCCUGAGUAGCUGAGAUUACAGGUGCCCGCCACCAUGCCCGGCUAAUUUUUGUAUUUUUAGUAGAGAUGAGGUUUCACUGUGUUGGCCAGGCUGGUCUUGAACUCUUGGCCCCAGCUGAUCUGCCCGCCUGGGCCUCCCAAAGUGCUGGGAUUACAGGAGUGAGCACCAUGUCCGGUCUAGAUACAUAUUUCUAUUAAUACACAUUUGCAGGGAUUGUUUGUUACUGAAGUUGACGCCUUGUGCUUGAGAAUGCUAUUUCACUGACACAAUUGUUAUGGUAUAAAUGUGAGAGUAUAGUUACAAUCUGGACACUAUUUUUUGCUUGUCUUAUUGGCCCAGCAACCAGCUUGACACUGGGGACUAUCAGGCUCCAAAUAAUAACCAAUGUCUCACUCCAAACAGACAGGAUACUACGGAGCCAGGGUCAGCAAACAUUUUCUGUAAAGGGCCAGAUAGUAAAUAUUUUGGGCUUUGUGGGCCCUAUGGUCUCUGUCACAAUGAUUCAACUCUGCUGUUGUAACAAAAAAGCAGUCAGACAAUAUGUAAAUGAAUGGGCAUGGCUGUGUUCCAGUAAAACCACAAAAACAGGCAGCUAGCUUUGGUGUGGGGCCCUAAGAGCUUGGACUUUGAAGCCAGGUUCAAAUCCUGGCUUUCUCACCUUCUAGCUCCGUUACCUUAAAGAACUUCAUUAUCUUCCUUGUAUUUUAGUCUUUUCAUCUCUAAAUUAGUGAUAGUACUUAACAGUGUUGUUAUAAAGAUUAAACGAGUUAAGUUUGUAAAGUACUUAAACAGUGCCUACCAGGUAGUAAGUGCUAUAGCAGAGUGUGUUAGAUAAUGAAACAUCCUGUGCUGUGGGUGAUAUUAUUCCCAUUACGAUUUGGAUUCAAAUAAAGAAAUACAUGACUUAGAAGAA